UACGGAAGGCAGCAGUGGGGAAUAUUGCACAAUGGGCGAAAGCCUGAUGCAGCUAUGCCGCGUGUAUGAAGAAGGCCUUCGGGUUGUAAAGUACUUUCAGUCGUGAGGAAGGUGUUAAGGUUAAUAACCUUAGCAAUUGACGUUAGCGACAGAAGAAGCACCGGCUAACUCCGUGCCAGCAGCCGCGGUAAUACGGAGGGUGCGAGCGUUAAUCGGAAUUACUGGGCGUAAAGGGCACGCAGGCGGUUAAUUAAGUUGGAUGUGAAAUCCCCGGGCUUAACCUGGGAAUGGCAUUCAAGACUGGUUAGCUAGAGUCUUGUAGAGGGGGGUUAGAAUUCCAUGUGUAGCGGUGAAAUGCGUAGAGAUGUGGAGGAAUACCGGUGGCGAAGGCGGCCCCUGGACAAAGACUGACGCUCAUGUGCGAAAGCGUGGGGAGCGAAACAGGGAUUAGAUACC
rnacentral:rRNA from 1 species